rnacentral:rRNA from 1 species
AGAGUUUGAUCCUGGCUCAGGACGAACGCUGGCGGCGUGCCUAACACAUGCAAGUCGAGCGAGUGGAUCUCCUUCGGGAGAGAAGCUAGCGGCGGACGGGUGAGUAACACGUGGGCAACCUGCCUCAUAGAGGGGAAUAGCCUCCCGAAAGGGAGAUUAAUACCGCAUAAGAUUGUAGCUUCGCAUGAAGUAGCAAUUAAAGGAGCAAUCCGCUAUGAGAUGGGCCCGCGGCGCAUUAGCUAGUUGGUGAGGUAACGGCUCACCAAGGCGACGAUGCGUAGCCGACCUGAGAGGGUGAUCGGCCACAUUGGGACUGAGACACGGCCCAGACUCCUACGGGAGGCAGCAGUGGGGAAUAUUGCACAAUGGGGGAAACCCUGAUGCAGCAACGCCGCGUGAGUGAUGACGGCCUUCGGGUUGUAAAGCUCUGUCUUCAGGGACGAUAAUGACGGUACCUGAGGAGGAAGCCACGGCUAACUACGUGCCAGCAGCCGCGGUAAUACGUAGGUGGCGAGCGUUGUCCGGAUUUACUGGCGUAAAGGGAGCGUAGGCGGACUUUUAAGUGAGAUGUGAAAUACCCGGGCUCAACUUGGGCGCUGCAUUUCAAACUGGAAGUCUAGAGUGCAGGAGAGGAGAAUGGAAUUCCUAGUGUAGCGGUGAAAUGCGUAGAGAUUAGGAAGAACACCAGUGGCGAAGGCGAUUCUCUGGACUGUAACUGACGCUGAGGCUCGAAAGCGUGGGGAGCAAAC